rnacentral:rRNA from 1 species
GACAGAGGUGCCGAGCGUUAGGCGGAAUCACUGGGCUUAAAGCGUGUGUAGGCGGGUCGUUAAGUGUCCGUGUGAAAUCCCACCGCUCAACGGUGGAACCGCCGGGCAUACUGGCGAUCUUGAGCAGUCCAGGGGCGAGCGGAACAAGCGGUGGAGCGGUGAAAUGCGUUGAGAUCGGAAGGAACGCCCGUGGCGAAAGCGAGGUCCUGGACGUUUUCUGACGCUGAGACGCGAAAGCCAGGGGAGCGAACGGG